CCGAGUUUACAACUCCCAAACCCCUGUGAACAUACCACUUGUUGCCUCGGCGGAUCAGCCCGCUCCCGGUAAAACGGGACGGCCCGCCAGAGGACUCCUAAACUCUGUUUCUAUAUGUAACUUCUGAGUAAAACCAUAAAUAAAUCA
rnacentral:misc_RNA from 1 species